UUUUUCUGAAGCAUACUUGUUUGGUUUCAUGAUGCUCUAUUACUCUGGUUUCUUAUCAUCCCUCUCUCCACCAAAUUUAUUAGGCUUGGCCUUUUGUUAUUGUUCUUUGUGUUUCUUUUGGUUCCUGGUAGUGGUAAUACAGAUCAUUGCAAAGAUACUGAAAGGUACUUUUUCAUGGUUGGCCAAGAAAUAACUUCCCAAUUCUGGUGCCCCCAGUUAGCUUCAGUGAACGAGAAUCGGGAGUAAUUACUGCCGCCUUUUGGUUAUUACAUCUAACUAAUGUUAUAUAUUUGUUUUUGGAGGUGAAUUUGCGUUAAUCACUCUUUUAUGUCUGUUUGUAUUUGUG
rnacentral:lncRNA from 1 species